rnacentral:rRNA from 1 species
GCUUAACCGGAGAAGUGCAUCGGAAACUGGGAGACUUGAGUGCAGAAGAGGACAGUGGAACUCCAUGUGUAGCGGUGGAAUGCGUAGAUAUAUGGAAGAACACCAGUGGCGAAGGCGGCUGUCUAGUCUGUAACUGACGCUGAGGCUCGAAAGCAUGGGUAGCGAACAGGAUUGGAUACCCUGGUAGUCCAUGCCGUAAACGAUGAGUGCUAAGUGUUGGAGGGUUUCCGCCCUUCAGUGCUGCAGCUAACGCAUUAAGCACUCCGCCUGGGGAGUACGACCGCAAGGUUGAAACUCAAAGGAAUUGACGGGGGCCCGCACAAGCGGUGGAGCAUGUGGUUUAAUUCGAAGCUACGCGAAGAACCUUACCAGGUCUUGACAUCUUCUGCCAGUCUUAGAGAUAAGACGUUCCCUUCGGGGACAGAAUGACAGGUGGUGCAUGGUUGUCGUCAGCUCGUGUCGUGAGAUGUUGGGUUAAGUCCCGCAACGAGCGCAACCCUUAUUAUCAGUUGCCAGCAUUCAGUUGGGCACUCUGGUGAGACUGCCGGUGACAAACCGGAGGAAGGUGGGGAUGACGUCAAAUCAUCAUGCCCCUUAUGACCUGGGCUACACACGUGCUACAAUGGACGGUACAACG